ACUUAUUAGUAAUUUUGAACUGUUCUACAUGCUGCUAUUUAUUACUCCAUACUUAUAUUCAUGUAACAAUAAAACAAUAAGAAUAAAAUCUGCAAAUCAGGAAUAUUCUUUUCCAGAUCAGAGAAAGUGGGACUUGAAAAUCAAGUACUACUACAUAUGAUUGGAUAUAAUAAUGGUACAUUAUAUUGGAGGAAACACGAUUAAAAACUCUUACCCAAAAACUAAUUGUAUAUGAAUGCAAGACAGGAAAAUUCCACAGAAUAAUCUAACUUUUUGAACAGUAAAAACCUAUAUACAGAAGAAAUAUUAGAUAACUUCAAGUUCAGAAUUAGUGAUAAAUCC